rnacentral:rRNA from 1 species
AAUCAACGCUGGCGGCGUGCCUCAGACAUGCAAGUCGAACGCGAAAUUUCCCUUCGGGGAGAAAGUAGAGUGGCGCACGGGUGAGUAACACGUAGGUAAUCUACCUCUGGGUGGGGAAUAACAGCCGGAAACGGCUGCUAAUACCGCAUAAUGCAGCGGCACCGCAAGGUGACAGUUGUUAAAGCGGGGGAUCCUGAAAGGGACCUCGCGCCUGAAGAGGAGCCUGCGGCAGAUUAGCUAGUUGGUGAGGUAAUGGCUCACCAAGGCAACGAUCUGUAGCCGGCCUGAGAGGGCGGUCGGCCACACUGACACUGACAUACGGGUCAGACUCCUACGGGAGGCAGCAGUCGGG